GUCCACGCAGUAAACGAUGCAGACUAGGCGUGGGGGGACUUGACCCCCUCCGUGCCGGAGCUAACGCGGGAAGUCUGCCGCCUGGGGAGUACGGCCGCAAGGCUAAAACUCAAAGGAAUUGACGGGGGCCCGCACAAGCGGCGGAGCGUGCUCUUUAAUUCGUCGCAACGCGAAGAACCUUACCAGGGCUUGACAUGACGCUGCAGACCCGGGAAACCGGGGGGCCUUCGAGGGUGCGUCACAGGUGCUGCAUGGCUGUCGU
rnacentral:rRNA from 1 species